rnacentral:rRNA from 1 species
UCCCAGACUCCUACGGGAGGCAGCAGUGGGGGAUAUUGGACAAUGGGGGAAACCCUGAUCCAGCGACGCCGCGUGAGUGAAGAAGUAUUUCGGUAUGUAAAGCUCUCUCAGCAGGGAAGAAAGAAAUGACGGUACCUGAGUAAGAAGCCCCGGCUAACUACGUGCCAGCAGCCGCGGUAAUACGUAGGGGGCAAGCGUUAUCCGGAAUUACUGGGUGUAAAGGGAGCGUAGACGGUAAUGCAAGUCUGGAGUGAAAGGCGGGGGCCCAACCCCCGGUCUGCUCUGGAAACUGUGUAACUGGAGUGCGGGAGGGGCAGGCGGAAUUCCUGGUGUAGCGGUGAAAUGCGUAGAUAUCAGGAGGAACACCGGCGGCGAAGGCGGCCUGCUGGACCGUGACUGACGUUGAGGCUCGAAAGCGUGGGUAUCGAACAGGAUUAGAUACCCGCGUAC